CCUACGGGUGGCAGCAGUGAGGAAUAUUGGUCAAUGGACGAGAGUCUGAACCAGCCAAGUAGCGUGAAGGAUGACUGCCCUAUGGGUUGUAAACUUCUUUUAUAUGGGAAUAAAACGUUCCACGUGUGGGAUUUUGUAUGUACCAUAUGAAUAAGGAUCGGCUAACUCCGUGCCAGCAGCCGCGGUAAUACGGAGGAUCCGAGCGUUAUCCGGAUUUAUUGGGUUUAAAGGGAGCGUAGGUGGAUUGUUAAGUCAGUUGUGAAAGUUUGCGGCUCAACCGUAAAAUUGCAGUUGAAACUGGCAGUCUUGAGUACAGUAGAGGUGGGCGGAAUUCGUGGUGUAGCGGUGAAAUGCUUAGAUAUCACGAAGAACUCCGAUUGCGAAGGCAGUUCACUGGACUGCAACUGACACUGAGGCUCGAAAGUGUGGGUAUCAAACAGGAUUAGAUUCCCCAGUAGUC
rnacentral:rRNA from 1 species